CACAAUUAAAAGAAAUUAAAUUGAAAAAGCUAAAACCUAAAAUCCUAAACCGAUUAGCUAGCUCACAACCACACACGUAGAGCUCAUAGCCUCACACCCUCACAACCUCACACCACAAACACAUAUCUCAGAGCUCAAAUCACACAGGACACAGUGGCACAGACACAGCUGACAGCACCGAGCCACCGAGUCAUCGAUGCAUCCAAUUAACAAUGCGAACACAGGCACACACAGACUGUGACAUACCAAUCCCGCGAAUUCACUUCACCUCUUCAGCUGCUGCAGCUUGCUCCGUGGGCUGCUGCAACCACUGCUACAACCCACUUCACCUCGACAACCACCGUCUCAGAUCCAAAUCCAAUGACUUUUUUCAUAGUAAAUUUAUAUUGUAUUAAAUAAUUAAUUUUGAAUUUUCACUAUAUUAUUUGUAUUGUAUAAAUCGCGUAAUGUGUGAUAGUGAUGUGAUAAAUAUAAUUGUUAUUUGCAAAUGUGUG
rnacentral:lncRNA from 1 species